rnacentral:rRNA from 1 species
UACGAGAAGGACGAGUGUUAUUCCCACUAACUGGGCGUAAAGGGCUUCUAGGCGGUUCUUGCUGUUAGAGGUGAAAGCCCAAACAUAGACUUGGAAGGGCCUCUAAAACGAAGAACUAUGAGUUUUUUUAGAGAAUGCACUAGGUUGGAAGUAAAGGUUAAAUUUGUUGAUCUCCAACAGGGUUCCAAAAGGCGAAAGCAGCAUUCUAAACUAAA